UCCACCGAAUGCCUAAGGUUUCCUGAGGAAGGCUCGUCCGCUCAGGGUUAGUCGGGACCUAAGCCGAGGCCGAAAGGCGUAGGCGAUGGAUAACAGGUUGAUAUUCCUGUACCACCUCCUCACCAUUUGAGCAAUGGGGGGACGCAGGAGGAUAGGGUAAGCGCGGUAUUGGAUAUCCGCGUCCAAGCAGUUAGGAUGGGAAAUAGGCAAAUCCGUUUCCCGUGAAGGCUGAGCUGUGAUGGCGAGCGAAUUAUAGUAGCGAAGUUCCUGAUUCCACACUGCCAAGAAAAGCCUCUAGCGAGGUGAGAGGUGCCCGUACCGCAAACCGACACAGGUAGGCGAGGAGAGAAUCCUAAGGUGAUCGAGAGAACUCUCGUUAAGGAACUCGG
rnacentral:rRNA from 1 species